CAGGUCUGACAAGGCACAGGAACAUGGUGAGCAGCAGGGCUGCUCCCCCCAUGGAGACACAUCUUCAUUCAGAGGGGUUUUGAUAGGUGUUUGUGCCAACACCCGGAACUCCAGGAAGGAAGAUAUCAGGCCAGCUCUCAUUUUAAUGAGAAAUGUCAAGAUAGAGAAUGGAGGUUACGUCUCUCCAUAAUUUUGGACAGCUCCAUUGAAUCAGUUCCAUUGGAAGAAUCCCUUCCAUUAGAAAGCCCGAAAGAUCUGGAGGGUCCCUUUCCGUCAAGGACUCUAAUGGGGGAAGACCAAGACACAGAAGAGGAGCUCUCUCCCAAUGGGGAGAAAACAACUUUCUCAGAUGAUUCUAUGACAUUCCUGGUGGGCUCCAGGAUCAGCAGCCUGGAGGAUGUGGACUCCCUUUCUGACCUUCUGGAUGAGGAGUCUGAGGGAAGCUGGGAGGAUGCUGCAGCGGCUUCUGAUGCUAGCAAUUCCUCCAGUCCAUGGGCAGGACUUAAAUACGGAGAGAAUAGAAAGCCUACUUUUCUGGUGAUGGGUGAGCUGAGAUUGAGGAUUCUUCCAACUCUGGAGAUGUAUCCAGCAACAGAAGCAUUGUUCUGGUUGGGGAUCCAAAUUCAAUAGGCCCUAUUUUAGGAAUGCCGAGUUUCUUUUGCCCCGAUGCCUAAAGAGGAACUAUUGUCAUUCACGGGAUUCUCCCAAAGAAGUGGAAGUCACCCUAGAAGAUCUCAGCAGCCUGGAAGAGGACUCCCUGGACUCCACUCUCUAAUUCAAAGAGAUGCUUCCCCUGAUGCCUAUCCACAUGUCAGCUUGGAGGAGGAUGAACCAGCUUCAGGGACAUCAGGAGAUGAAUUGGUCAAUGCAAGUGGUUGGAUUGGAGGACCCCCAAGGUUCCUUCCAACUCUGUUACUCUAUCUGCAUAUAGAUAGAUAGCUUCAGGAAAGGAAAGUACGGAGACAGAGGAUGGAAUUACCUCCAAUGGUGAAUCCCCUUCAGCAGCUGCUCCCCCCCCCCCCAAGGAAAUUUCUUUUGACUGUCUGAAUCCUGUUGACUUACUAAAAGGUCUUGAGAUCCUGGCUUUUACCUUCAGGCACUGUUAAUGGUUCCCUGAAUAGAAAAAAAAAAUUGAGGGGUCGUUGGUUAUGUGAUGUUAGAUCAAUUUUCAAAUUGGCUUUAUUUUAUGUUUUUUUUAAAUAUUAUUUUAUCUACAUUUUUGUUAACUGCUUGAAAUUAAGAGGGAUAAAUCAAUAAAGUUGCUCAUUGACAA